AGGUGGUGCAUGGUUGUCGUCAGCUCGUGUCGUGAGAUGUGGUAAGUCCCGCAACGAGCGCAACCCUCGACCUUAGUUGCCAGCAUUCAGUUGGGCACUCUAAGGUGACUGCCGGCUAAAAGUCGGAGGAAGGUGGGGACGACGUCAAAUCAUCAUGCCCCUUAUGACCUGGGCUACACACGUGCUACAAUGGGCGGUACAAAGGGUCGCGAACCCGCGAGGGGGAGCCAAUCCCAAAAAGCCGCUCUCAGUUCGGAUUGCAGGCUGCAACUCGCCUGCAUGAAGCCGGAAUCGCUAGUAAUCGCGGAUCAGCAUGCCGCGGUGAAUACGUUCCCGGGCCUU
rnacentral:rRNA from 1 species